rnacentral:rRNA from 1 species
GUAGUCAUAUGCUUGUCUCAAAGAUUAAGCCAUGCAUGUCUAAGUAUAAACAAGUUUGUACUGUGAAACUGCGAAUGGCUCAUUAAAUCAGUUAUAGUUUAUUUGAUGGUGUCUUGCUACAUGGAUAACUGUGGUAAUUCUAGAGCUAAUACAUGCGACAAAGCCCCAACUUCUGGAAGGGGUGUAUUUAUUAGAUAAAAAACCAACGCGGCUCGCCGCUUGCUUGGUGAUUCAUAAUAACUUGUCGAAUCGCAUGGCCUUGCGCCGGCGAUGCUUCAUUCAAAUAUCUGCCCCAUCAACUUUCGAUGGUAGGAUAGAGGCCUACCAUGGUUUCAACGGGUAACGGGGAAU